ACUCCUACGGGAGGCAGCAGUGGGGAAUAUUGCACAAUGGGCGCAAGCCUGAUGCAGCCAUGCCGCGUGUAUGAAGAAGGCCUUCGGGUUGUAAAGUACUUUCAGCAGUGAGGAAGGUGGGUAUGUUAAUAGCAUACUCAUUUGACGUUAGCUGCAGAAGAAGCACCGGCUAACUCCGUGCCAGCAGCCGCGGUAAUACGGAGGGUGCGAGCGUUAAUCGGAAUUACUGGGCGUAAAGCGCAUGCAGGUGGUUUGUUAAGUCAGAUGUGAAAGCCCGGGGCUCAACCUCGGAAUUGCAUUUGAAACUGGCAAACUAGAGUACUGUAGAGGGGGGUAGAAUUUCAGGUGUAGCGGUGAAAUGCGUAGAGAUCUGAAGGAAUACCGGUGGCGAAGGCGGCCCCCUGGACAGAUACUGACACUCAGAUGCGAAAGCGUGGGGAGCAAACAGGAUUACAUACCCUGGUAGGCUCU
rnacentral:rRNA from 1 species